rnacentral:lncRNA from 1 species
GGGGUCGGCCCCCAGAAGCAUUCCCCGGCCCAGGACGAGGAUGAACAGGACAGGCGAGGCACAAAGUCGCAACUGAACUUUUUAGAAACAUUAUUUGUGUGUGUAUGUGUGUAGCAGGGGAGAAUGAGCUGAUGCCGAGGGUCCAGCCACCCCGCCUCUGCCUCCUCCUCCCCCUGCCGCCGCUGCCCUCGCAGACGCGCGCGCACACACGGCACUUGGGCCGGGUUUCCGCGCUCCGUCCCCCCGUUUGGAUGGGGGUUUUCAUUUCCGAAGGAGGCACAGCCCGCGGAGCGCUCUGAAGGGCUGGAGCCCCAAGUUACUCCUCGCCAGCGCCGGCCGCCCGCUGUCACUCGCGCUGGCCGGCCGGGGGAAGGGACCCGCACGCCGGGCUUUGUUGUGGAAAUCCCGGUUACCUGGUCCCUUAUUUCGCGUGAGUCUUUGGCGUCCACGACCUUGAGUCUGACGGAAAGUCAGUCGGCCUCAAGCAUGAAGCAGGAGUGGUCCCAGGGCUACAGGGCCCUCCCUUCGCUCUCCAACCACGGCUCUCAGAAUGGCCUUGAUCUAGGGGAUCUCCUUAGCCUUCCUCCCGGGACAUCCAUGUCCAGCAAUAGUGUCUCUAACUCAUUACCAUCCUACCUUUUUGGCACGGAAAGUAGCCACUCUCCUUACCCUAGUCCUCGGCACUCAUCCACCAGGUCCCACUCGGCCCGCUCCAAGAAGAGAGCGCUGUCCUUGUCCCCGCUGUCCGAUGGCAUCGGGAUAGAUUUC